GGAAGGGGAAGCAUUCAUAGCUUCUCUGCAAAGAGCAAGGAGAUGAAGAUGCUCAGAUGGCAGAUUCAUCAGCUCUCGGCAGUUUGAGAUGGCCAAAGAAGUGAUGAAAGAGAUUGUAAACCCAAUCUGGGAAGUUCGAGUCUGCAGGAGGUUUCCCACAGCCCCCCAGUCAGUCCGUCUGCUGGUGGAGCAGUGCUGGCGCGUAACCACCUCUGCCUGGAGCUGCCUCUCCCCCGCCGUGCCGGACAGGGGCUGCGGGAACAGCACGAGAGGCACUGGGGCAUUGGCUUACUUGGUUCAUCGUGAAACAAAACAUUCAGACAGGCAGGUCCUGGGGUAGCCCUCUGUCUGCUUAAUUUCUCCUCUUCCACAAGAUCAAUAUAGAAAGCUUCACUCUGAAGAGGCUAUUCUGCAUUUUCUGCAUUUUUUUUUAGGGUGCAGGCAGGCUUUCAUGGGAAGGCUAGGGUCUGCACCCAGUGGGUUGGCCCAGAGCAUGAGUUUGUGAGGGACAGCGUCUAAAACUCAGAGGCUGCCCGAGAAAAACACGAGCCGGGGCCGGCGGGUGGAAAGGCUGCACGUGGCCAGGCAGAAAGGGGUUACCACGGCAAGGAGCACCGGCUGCUCCGGAGCAGGGCUGUGCUGGGCCACCCUGGAGCUCUUCCAGAGAGAAGACCAAGCUGGAGCCUGUAGAAAUCACUGCCACCCGCCAGAGCUGCUUUACAUACAGGCAAACAUCAGCUGAAUGUGUUAAUUCAGUUUUACUAAGACAAUAAUUGCAUGUUUAUAAAAAAAACCCCAGAUUUUUAAAAAUGACUGAUAUUCAGUGACUGCCCAGGAGACAUGGAUUGAUUUCCUGCUCGUCAGCCAAUCUUUAAUUAUCAGUAUGCAUCAUUGUAUUUAGUUUCAUAAACAAAAGGCAAUGAAAAACAAAGAGAUUAACAUUAGAUACCUAUAACUUAAUUUACUUGUAAUAGCUUUAUUAGCUCAAAGCCUGGAACGUUCCAAGGGAGUUUUACCUCACAUCCUCAAGAUACACGCGCUCAUGAUAACUCUACGGCAGCUUUAAAAAAGUGGGUGUCACGCUGCCUUGAACAGAGGCAGACUCCCAGAGAAGCCAGCGAUCUUCUCCCACCCCUCCUGCGGAUGUCUUGCAGCGGCAGGCACUCGGGGAGGCAGGAGCACCCUGGGGUUAAACAGCUUUGAGUCUCUUCCGAGGCCUGUGGUGUUCUCACUUUAAAAGUGCUCGUAUUUCAAUGUAUAUUAGCGCGUUAGCUCUGAAAGCUUGCCCCACGCCUGCUGCUCUGCAGGGCGCCCGAGGGGAAUGCCACGCUGAAGCACUCGGUGGCCCUGUCAUUUCUUGUGCAUGUCACGGCUUCAUCAUAUGUCUCGUUAGUUAAUUAGAGGACAGAAAAACAAGCGGCAGAAGUCAGAGAAGCCCCACAAAACAUGUGUGAAAAUGUCAAAUGAGCUCAGAAAGCAAAGCCCAAGGUGCUGCCCUUUGUGAAAGCCGCACUUUGGGCAUCUUGUUCCUGUCGUUCAGGAUGAACAGGGAGCACAGGCGGAUGCUUGUGCCAUGCCGGGACAGCUCUAUUAGUGGAAGAAGACACUUAGCACAGCACCUCGCUGCUGCGCCGUGCCCAGAGGGCACCUCCUGUCCACGGGUGACCAUCAGCAGCGUGCCACGGCCCCAGCUUUCAGCAGGGACCCUCCUGACCGCAGAGAGGGCCCAGAGGGAACAUCUCCCGAGACUGUCCUGUGCUGGCACACCCUGGCUGCCCGGGGGGCUAUCCUCCAGCCUUCGAGGGUGAUUUCCAGCAUUACGCUAUUUUUACGGCACUGGAGCUGGGUUACUGCCCUGGGGAAGCUGAGAUGCCCGUUAGUCAUGCGGUCGGUGAUGACUGCUCUGCUUCUGUUUUGCCGUGGGCCCUCUCUGCCGCCCUGAUCUCUUCUAUUAAUUUAUUUACCGAACAAAUGGCAUUUCCUCAGCUCUGCAGUGAUGCACACUCAGCCCCACACCACAACCAGCCAGGGAAGCACCAACUCUUCGUCCCACCAGCAUUGGAGAAGGACCUGAGGGGGUCCUCAGCUGCUGCCCAAGAGGCAGAGCAGGCAGUGCUGAAUUUCCCUCUGCCCAAACGGAUUUGAAAAGUGAAAGAACUUGCUGUAGAAGGUCUACCGGUGCUUUCUUCCUGCAGCCCAUGCCACGGGCAGCGUGUACGUCGGUGCUGCUCUAGGCUCGCGGGGGACAAGGGAAGGCGGGAAUAAGUCCUCCAUUGCAAAAUGCAUACAGUGCUUUCUGGAAUUUGCUUUGCCAUGUGGCCUGCAAUAUUGAUUUUUAAAACCCCUCUGCUGGUUAUUUAGUUCUGAAAUCGAGCAAUGUGCCUGUGAGCUCUAAAUUUUAGGGAGUAGAUUGUACCUGACUAAUUUUAUGGUCUGCACUGCCUUUUAUCUUGGCUUGCUAUUAAUUUAACAGCAAAUCUCUGUAUUUGUCAGUUUUGAUUCCUGGGGUACCAUAUAAUUUCGUUUGUAAAUUGAUUUGUGCUUUCUGAUACUUCAGUAAACCCAUUUGGUACAAACACA